rnacentral:rRNA from 1 species
AUUAGUGGCAAACGGGUGCGUAACGCGUAAGCAACCUGCCUCAAACUGGGGGAUAGCCCGGCGAAAGCUGGGGUAAACCCGCACGGUCCAGUUGAAUCACCUGGUUUAACUGGUAAACAUUUAUGGGUUUGAGAGGGGCUUGCGUCUGAUUAGUUAGUUGGCAGGGUAACGGCCUACCAAGACGAUGAUCAGUAGGGGUUCUGAGAGGAUUGGCUCCCACAUGGGUACUGAGAUACGGACCCA